GUGAUUUGACUACCAUCUCUUCAGUAUGCAUGUCCCAAUGCAUGUCCUCCUGUCACACUUUGCAGAACUCAAAGCUGUUCUGGAUACUCUGACCCACAAUCCUUUGCACAGCGGACAUAUGAGCAAGAGGGUCAAAGUUCAAGGUGUAAUGUGAGGAUGAAGAAGUUUGUUUGCAUGCAACAGCACGUGCUUUCCAAGCCGCAGUACAUACGUAGUGAAAAGAAAGAGCAUGCGCAGUGAUGACUUACUGAACAUGGCUUCCAGUCGAACCAGACAGCUGAUGAAGCUGUCGAAGUCGAUGUUCAUGUUCUCGUUAGCGUAGCGCAUGGUGAUAAUGUCGUACAGCUGGUUGUUGAGACGGAAGCCUGAGCGGGACACAAGACACAUGACUGUACAGUGAAGAGAACAUUUAGAGGAUGUCUGAACUCCUGCAGAUUGAGUCUCCCCGUCCCGUCCAUCUGCACGCCAGUUAAGAAGCUUCACUCAAAACAAGCGAGUGUAUCCUGUGACUCCUGUGAGUUUUAUUAGUUCUUUUACUUUUAUCUGAUACAUUUAGUUAAACAAAUAAUUAAUUAUAUAUUAUUAUUAUUAUAGAUUCAGAUACACAGCUGUAUAUUAAUAAUAAUUAUUUUUUAAAAUAUUUAUUUUAUUAGUAUUUUUAAACUUUAAUUAAGUAAAAGUAAAAAUAUCAGAGUAUUUCUUCCACAACUAAAUAAUAAAAACACUGAUGGGGAACAUUUUACUACACAAACAAUUACACCGUCUCAUAAUUACUGUCAAACAAUCCAACUCAUAUCAAUUCAAAUAGUCACACACACACACACACACACACACACACACACUGUCAGCUGUGUGUUCUCAUUGGCUCAAAAGCAUGUCCGUCACAGACCCUGCGGGGGUCUCAGCAGGUGGUGCCUCCUACAGAACACAGCCAGCCCGAUGCACUCGAUACAAAGGAUACGUCCAUCAGAGCAAUCAUGCUCCUGCAGCUCUCCAGGCUGAAGCCCUCCGUGUUCAGGUCCUUAUCUGCAGUUUAAACUGAAGCUGUGAGAAAGUGUCGCUGUGACGUCGCUGGACUCACGUUUGGUGAUCACUCUGUUCAGAACGUUUUUCAGUUCGUUGGCUGUGAUUUCCAUGUCCUGUGAGAGACACCGCAGCGCAGGAGGAAACAGUAGAAGAAGAAAAGAGACGAGCAUUAAAACGUGACUCAAAAUUACAUAAAAAGUCAGAAAAUUAAUUUUAAAAGUUGCUUUGAUGUCAUAUAAUGUGACGUGAUACAAAAUCAUUAAAUAUGUAUUAAAUAUUAAUUCAUUUUCAGAUCUUUAACCCUUUCAUUGCCUGUUUUUCUCCAUAAAGCCACUGAUAAACAUUAUAA